UCAUGGUUUCACCAAAGCUCGAAAUUGCUCUAGAAACAGAUGAGGUAAAAAUAGCUUGUUGCCAUCGAUCGGAAUAACACCUCAAUGUCUUCACCAUCGGAGGAGGUAAUGUAUAGCUUACUAUUGUUCCAAAUUUCCGAUUCACAAAUUUCCGGUUUCGUACAUGAAUAAAGCUUGUUGAUUGCUUGUAGGAGAUUUCCGGUUUUGUAGUUUAGGAGAUUUUCGAAUAUAUGAAUGCUUGUAGGAGAUUUCCGGAUUGAAUUGCUAAUCGAAAAUUUUCACAUUUCUUAAUAAUCGGAAUUCUCAAGUUUUUCGAUUUCCAAUUUCCUAGUUUCAUUUCCAGAUUUCAAAAUUAAUUAAUCUCAAGUUUGUUAUUUUUAUCGGAAUUAUUCAUAGUAUUGUUACCAAGAUUUCCGACUUAGAAUGGUAAUCGGAAAUCU
rnacentral:lncRNA from 1 species